UGCGGAAGGAUCCUUG
rnacentral:rRNA from 1 species